UUACGGUCAUAUUAUGUUGAGACACCGGUUCCCGUCUGAUCAUCGAACUUAAGCAAGGUCGAACCUGCUCAGUACCUAGAUGGAUGACCUCUUGGGAAUACCAGGUGCUGUAAG